AUGUAACCCUACUCCUAAGUCCA
rnacentral:piRNA from 1 species